GCACUUUCAGUGUCCGAGUUGUAAUUUGAAGAAGGUAUCUUUGGGUCUAGCUCUUGUCUAUGUUUCUUGGAACAGAACGUCACAGAGGGUGAGAAUCCCGUGCGAUGAGAUGUCUAGAUCUAUGUAAAGUUCCUUCGAAGAGUCGAGUUGUUUGGGAAUGCAGCUCUAAGUGGGUGGUAAAUUCCAUCUAAAGCUAAAUAUUGGCGAGAGACCGAUAGCGAACAAGUACAGUGAUGGAAAGAUGAAAAGAACUUUGAAAAGAGAGUGAAAAAGUACGUGAAAUUGUUGAAAGGGAAGGGCUUGAGAUCAGACUUGGUAUUUUGUAUGUUACUCUCUCGGGGGUGGCCUCUACAGUUUACCGGGCCAGCAUCAGUUUGAGCGGUAGGAGAAUUGCGUAGGAAUGUGGCUCGGCCUCGGUCGAGUGUUAUAGCCUUCGUCGAUACUGCCAGCUUAGACUGAGGACUGCGGCUUCGGCCUAGGAUGUUGGCAUAAUGAUCUUAAG
rnacentral:rRNA from 1 species